rnacentral:rRNA from 1 species
UACGUAGGGUGCGAGCGUUGUCCGGAAUUACUGGGCGUAAAGAGCUCGUAGGCGGUUUGUCGCGUCGUCCGUGAAAACUUGGGGCUCAACCCCGAGCUUGCGGGCGAUACGGGCAGACUUGAGUACUGCAGGGGAGACUGGAAUUCCUGGUGUAGCGGUGAAAUGCGCAGAUAUCAGGAGGAACACCGGUGGCGAAGGCGGGUCUCUGGGCCGAUACUGACGCUGAGGAGCGAAAGCGUGGGGAGCGAACAGG